GGAUGGGGGGAUGAAGAGAGGGGAUACAAAGAGGGAAAUCAGAGGGUGAGUCAGUGCUUAGCCUGAAAUCAAAAGCUGAAUCUGACAACGUCAAUAGUGUGGAGUAGUCAGAUACAAUUCAUUACACUAUUUCUCCACUAGAUGGUGCUAUUACAGUCUAAAAGACAGGCUGCCUGACAGGUUAGGUCUCCAUUAGACGGUGCUAUUACAGUCUAAAAGACAGGUUAGGUCUCCACUAGAUAGUGCUCUUACAGUCUAAAAGACAGGUUAGGUCUCCAUUAGACGGUGCUAUUACAGUCUAAAAGACAGGUUAGGUCUCCACUAGAUAGUUCUCUUACAGUCUAAAAGACAGGUUAGGUCUCCACUAGAUGGUGCUCUUACAGUCUAAAAGACAGGUUGGCUGACAGGUUAGGUCUCCACUAGAUAGUGCUCUUACAGUCUAAAAGACACGUUAGGUCUCCACUAGAUGGUGCUCUUACAGUCUAAAAGACAGGUUAGGUCUGCACUAGAUAGUGCUCUUACAGUCUAAAAGACAGGUUAGGUCUCCACUAGAUGGUGCUCUUACAGUCUAAAAGACAGGUUAGGUCUCCAUUAGAUGGUGCUCUUACAGUCUAAAAGACAGGUUAGGUCUCCACUAGAUAGUGCUCUUACAGUCUAAAAGACAGGUUAGGUCUCCACUAGAUGGUGCUCUUACAGUCUAAAAGACAGGUUGGCUGACAGGUUAGGUCUCCACUAGAUGGUGCUCUUACAGUCUAAAAGACAGGUUGGCUGACAGGUUAGGUCUCCACUAGAUGGUGCUCUUACAGUCUAAAAGACAGGUUAGGUCUCCACUAGAUGGUGCUCUUACAGUCUAAAAGACAGGUUGGCUGACAGGUUAGGUCUCCACUAGAUGGUGCUCUUACAGUCUAAAAGACAGGUUGGCUGACAGGUUAGGUCUCCACUAGAUGGUGCUCUUACAGUCUAAAAGACAGGUUAGUUCUCCAUUAGACGGUGCUCUUACAGUCUAAAAGACAGGUUAGGUCUCCACUAGAUGGUGCUCUUACAGUCUAAAAGACAGGUUGGCUGACAGGUUAGGUCUCCACUAGAUGGUGCUCUUACAGUCUAAAAGACAGGUUGGCUGACAGGUUAGGUCUCCACUAGAUGGUGCUCUUACAGUCUAAAAGACAGGUUAGGUCUCCACUAGAUGGUGCUCUUACAGUCUAAAAGACAGGUUGGCUGACAGGUUAGGUCUCCACUAGAUGGUGCUCUUACAGUCUAAAAGACAGGUUGGCUGACAGGUUAGGUCUCCACUAGAUGGUGCUCUUACAGUCUAAAAGACAGGUUAGGUCUCCACUAGAUGGUGCUCUUACAGUCUAAAAGACAGGAUUAGGUCUCCAUUAGACGGUGCUCUUACAGUCUAAAAGACAGGUUAGGUCUCCACUAGAUGGUGCUCUUACAGUCUAAAAGACAGGUUGGCUGACAGGUUAAGGCCAAGGAGAAGGGUUAGGGAGUGAAUAGGGACCGGCUG